rnacentral:lncRNA from 1 species
GCCUUUCUCUUUUCUCAGCCUCCCGGGUAGCUGGAACUACAGGCGCCAGCCACUACGCCAGGCUAAUUUUUUGUAUUGUUAGUAGAGAUGGGGUUUCACCGUCUUAGCCAGGCUGGUGUCAAACUCCUGACCUCGUGAUCCGCCCACCUCAGCUUCCCAAAGUGCUGGGAUUACAGGCAUGAGCCACUGCACCCGGCCUGGUAGUUGUGUUUUAAUAAGCAGACCAGCAGGUAGAUGAAACUCAAGAGAAAAGGUGUGGAUAAAUGAAACUAGCCCAUGAUGAACCUGUUUUCUCCGUGACCACAAUAUUAACCAGGAUGAAUGGCGGUGGCAGUGGGCCUGCAUCACAGGUUGCAGCAGAUGUUCUCAAUAUUUCUAUUAAAAUUUCCUUAUUUCCAUAUGCAAGAGGAGCCCCAGAGCUGCAUCCUUAUGGUAGCUACCAUGCCGUGAUGUAAGCUGCCAUUCACUGGGGAGCUUUGGCAAUAGAAUUGGCUAGAUCAGGAAGCCUAUGUCAACUAUGGAACAACAACUUGCAGCUCAUCUCUAUUGAUGAUGGAAUCUCGCUAUGUCACCAGGCUGGAGUGCAGUGGCGCAACCUCGGCUCAGCGCAACAUCCGCCUCCCGGGUUCAAGUGAUUCUCCUACCUCAGCCUCCUGAGUAGCUGGGAUUACAGGUGAAACAGUCGCAAAUGGAAUUCCAAGAAACAUUCUAUAUACACUGCCUCUAGGACUGGGACAGAUAGCCACUGAGUACCUGCUUCAAAUCACCCUGCACGUUUUCUCUUUGGAAAGAUAAGCACUGGAGAACCAUCUCGUUACCUUCAGCAGAAAUGGAAACAAAUCAAGACAUUAAGAAUGCCGCAGUGGACAGCAGUUAUGCAAGGUUCAGCAGAGGAAGUUUUCAAGAUGGUGUGCCUCACUAGCCAGAAAUCAGAAAAGAUCGAAGCUAGCCUUUUCAUCUCAGCUGCUCCUUAAAUCAGUGCAACCCCUCCAAAUUAAUGUGAAUUGAAACUUGCAUUGCUUUUCAACUUAAUUGAAUACUUACUAUAUGUGAACCACUGCACAAAAUAGGGGAAGAAGAUGUGGGAGACAAAGAUGUGGAGCCUGUCUUCAAUAAAUUUACAGUUAGUUUCAGGGUACAUUGUUUUUCUUCUGCUGUUAAUUAGGUGUAUCCCCAAGACAAUAAAUACAUGAAUGGAAAAGUAUAUUCUGUGUUUUAAGUCUCUUUAAUAAAAAACAAAACAAAAUCCAAAAAAACUCCUAACAUGGCAACUCAGGACAUUUUAAUCCUUUUUUUUGUUGUUGGGCUUCUGAUAGGAUCCAUUUUAUUGAUUCCAUAAAUAUUUAGUAGACUUUAGACAUAUUAAUACAUUGUAGUUUGAGUUAAUUUGCAUUAAAUUCUGUUUUUUUCCCCUUAGGUAUAGAUUGUCUGUUGGAAAAAUAUAUUGCUUGUGGAUUUCUUGGGGAGUGGGAAGGUGAAUUAUACCUGUUGUCUCUACAGUCCACUACCUUCCACACCCUAGGGCAGUGGUCCCCAACCUUCUUGGCACCAGGGAUCAGUUUCCUGGAAGACAAUUUUUCUGUGGAUGGUGUGGGGAUGGUUUUGGGAUGGAACUGUUCCACCUCAGAUCAUCAGGCAUUAGUUAGGCUCUCAUAACGAGUGCGCAGCCUAGAUCCCUCACAUGCACAGUUCACAGUAGGGUUUGCGCUGCUAUGAGAAUCUAAGGCUGCCACUGAUCUGACAGGAGGCAGAACUCAGGUGGCAAUGCUUACUGGCCCACUGCUCACCUCUUGCUGUGCGGCCUGGUUCCUAAUAGGCCAUGGACCCCCACAGACGGGUACUAGUCUGCAGCCUGUGGACCCCAGCCCUAGGGGCCUGCCAUUCUGAGUGAGUUAUUAGCAUGAAGAAGAGGAAGAUCUGGAUCAAACGUGGGUGAUGGUACUCAGAGACCCAAGAUAGGAUAGGGAUGGAACAAAAUCCAUCUGGGCAACGGCUCUAUGAAAAUUUGGCUAAGUAAUUAUUUCAGUAUUCAUUGUAUUCAUUGUCCUUCGUGUUCCAUAAGUUAAAUGACUGUCUAAUUUUUCCAAAAAUUUAUUUCUGACUUGAGAAUAAGUGUGUCAUGAUUUUCCCAGUGUAAAGACACUGAUAUAACUGUAGAUACCAGACAUUUUAUGUAGUGUCUAUGACACAUUUUAGUAUGUAUGAGCCAACAAUAGACAUGUCUUUGUCUUGAGGAGUGUCCAUCUGAAUUGAAAAUGUGUCAGCUUUUUUUUAACAUCAUCAACAGACUUCUUAAUUAAGCUGCCAAUACAUACUGCCAAUAGCACUGUGUGCUGUCUGAGAAAUGCAUUGUGUAAGUGCUAUUUCCAUCUUAUUAAAUAAACAAUGUUGCUCUGUAUAAACUGGAUUUAAAGUGUUCUUUGAAUGAGGCAUUAUAUUGCUCCAUAAAUAAUGUGAUGUGAAUUCUCAUAUGAUCCCUUUUAACUUAAUUUCUAAAAAAAUAUUAUUUGCUCCUCAGUAAGGAAUAGCUCUAAUUGGACUGGUAACUUUAGUGAUAUGAUUUGUCUGUAACAGGCUGAAUCGCCCCACUCCCAAACUCCUGGUCGUGAUACUGGAUAUUUGUUAUGCCACUUUUAGUUUGCAUGAGGUAUCUUCCAGGAAGUAUUAGUUAUUAACUUGUGUUCUACUAAACUGUAGAUAUUUAUUUCCUGUUCUGGAAGAUUUCUUGGAGUGUCCAUCUGUGCAUUCCUGGUGCCUAGUGUAGUCUUGCUAAUGGAAUAGCACCUUUAUUGGUGCUACUUAGGGGUUGGUAGCUUACAAUCAAUCUACUUGGAACGUAUCCAAAUAAACUGGAUAUUUUUAUACA